AUGUACGGUUAAGUCCGUGAACGAGCGCAACCCCUGCCCUUAGUUGCUAAUAUGCGAAAGCAUAUGCACUCUAAGGGGACCGCCAGCGGAAAGCUGGAGGAAGGUGGGGAUGACGUCAAAUCCUCAUGGCCUUUAUGUCCAGGGCUACACACAUGCGACAAUGGUCGAGACAACGCGUUGCAAACCAGUAAUGGUAAGCUAAUCGCAUAAAAUCGACCUCAGUACGGAUUGAGGGUUGCAAUUCACCCUCAUGAAGCUGGAGUUGCUAGUAACCGCAGGUCAGCUAUACUGCGAUGAAUACGUUCCCGGGGCUU
rnacentral:rRNA from 1 species